GGCCACCUCCUGCGUUCUUUUCUCGCCCUGGUGCGGUCGGCGGCGCGAUCUCUUCGCUGCAGCUGCGGGGCCUCUGCUGAAUGCAUCAGGCCACGGCGGGAGAGAGGAGCAUGGCGGGGGGCAAGAAGAAGCUGGUGGGCGAAGAGGAAGAAGCCCCUGACCUCCUGCGGAAAGCAGGCCGGGGAAGGGAGCGCGGAGGCCUUGCCCGUGAAGGGCACAGACCCAAGGAAUAGCUUAUCUGCUUACAAGAAUGGCCUUCUGCAAGGAAGUUGUAGAUGUUUUGUAGAAGUUAUUCCAUUGAAUGGGAUGAAUGAAAUGGCUGAAGUAAUAGCUGUUCUGUUUGUUAGCAAAUAAUGGAAGGAAAGACACAGUAUCCAUAAGGUGACUUGUGGCUGACUUCGCUGAUGAAUGUUCUUGUUGCAGUGUCUAAUUUAGUCUGGAGAGAUCUGGCUUCAAAUUCAAACCUGACCAUGAAUUUUCCUGGGUAUUGGCCUCAUAGGGUUGUGAGAAAAAAAAUACUGGGGUUUUCUUUGUAGAUAAAUUGACUUGGAUCUUUUUUCAUCCUUUAGAUUUCAGAAAUGUAGGCAUAAAGAGAUGCUCGCCACCUGUUUCCUCAACCCAGGCCCUUCUUUUCUGAUAAAAUUGGUCUGGGAGGGACUGCCCCCGUGACAAUGGAAGGUGAAUCGGUGCCUCCUUGUGAGAGGCCUUCUCUCUCUCUCAUCUUUUAAAAAGGAGUUGAUUAUAAGACUUCUGUUGACUAUCCUGUUAACUUAAGUACCUGUCCUUUGGAACAGCCUCCCCCUGGCUCUUUUCUUAGGUGUUAGGGUCAGGACAUCAAUGGACCCCAGUAGAUACCUUGGUGAGAGUUCUUUGGUUACAAUGAUUAUUCUUAAUUGUAUUCUGUACUGUAUUUUAUUUAUGCCUUUUAUUAAUAUGGUUUUUAUGUAUUGUUUCUUAGCUGCCCAGAGUUAUUUGUUUAAGACG